AAAAUUAGCCAGUUCCAUAGGAAUGAAACCCAUUUGAGCGAGAGUAAUACUAGGAUGGGUGACCUCCUGGGAAGUCCUCGUGAAAGAAUUUC
rfam:Triticum aestivum genome assembly, contig: Triticum_aestivum_CS42_TGACv1_scaffold_605558_7DL